GAAACCGGGGGUAAUACCGCAGAUGGUUUCGACGACGGAAGUCGACGAGAGCAAAGGCGGGGAUCCUUCGGGACCUGUCGUCUUUGGAUGGGCCCGCGUCCGAUUAGCUUGUUGGUGAGGUAAUGGCUCACCAAGGCUUCGAUCGGUAGCCGGCCUGAGAGGGUGAACGGCCACAUUGGGACUGAGACACGGCCCAGACUCCUACGGGAGGCAGCAGUGGGGAAUAUUGGGCAAUGGGGGAAACCCUGACCCAGCGACGCCGCGUGGAGGAUGACGGCCUUCGGGUUGUAAACUCCUGUCAGGUGGGAAGAAAAGCUUGUCGGAUAAUACCCGGCAGGAAUUGACGGUACCACCAAAGGAAGCCCCGGCUAACUCCGUGCCAGCAGCCGCGGUAAUACGGAGGGGGCAAGCGUUAUUCGGGAUUUACUGGGCGUAAAGCGCANGGUAGGUUGGUUUAAUUAAGUCAAAGGGUGAAAAG
rnacentral:rRNA from 1 species